CCUACGGGUGGCAGCAGUAGGGAAUAUUGCUCAAUGGGGGAAACCCUGAUGCAGCAACGCCGCGUGGGGGAUGAAGGUUUUCGGAUUGUAAACUCCUUUUGUCAGAGAAGAUAAUGACGGUAUCUAACGAAUAAGCACCGGCUAACUCCGUGCCAGCAGCCGCGGUAAUACGGAGGGGGCAAGCGUUACUCGGAAUCACUGGGCGUAAAGGGCGCGUAGGGGGGUUAGUAAGUCAGAAGUGAAAUGCUAUGGCUUAAACAGAGAACUGCAUUUGAAACUGUUAAUCUGGAGUAUGGGAGAGGUAGGUGGAAUUCUUGGUGUAGGGGUAAAAUCCGUAGAGAUCAAGAGGAAUACUCAUUGCGAAGGCGACCUGCUAGAACAUAACUGACGCUGAUGCGCGAAAGCGUGGGGAGCAAACAGGAUUAGAUACCCUAGUAGUC
rnacentral:rRNA from 1 species